rnacentral:rRNA from 1 species
UACGGGGGGAGCAAGCGUUGUUCGGAUUUACUGGGCGUAAAGGGCGCGUAGGCGGCCACCGCAAGUCAGUUGUGAAAGCUCUGGGCUCAACCCAGAAAGGUCAGCUGAUACUGCGGGGCUAGAGUGCAGAAGGGGCAACUGGAAUUCUCGGUGUAGCGGUGAAAUGCGUAGAUAUCGAGAGGAACACCUGCGGCGAAGGCGGGUUGCUGGGCUGACACUGACGCUGACAGCGCGAAAGCUAGGGGAGCGAACGGG